GAUUCGUUAGCUCAGUUGGUAGAGCAUCUGACUUUUAAUCAGAGUGUCGGGAGUUCGAGCCUCCCACGGAUCA
rnacentral:tRNA from 1 species